UACGAAGGGCGCAAGCGUUAAUCGGAAUUACUGGGCGUAAAGCGAGUGCAGGCGGUUGCGUGUGUCGGAUGUGAAAGCCCCGGGCUCAACCUGGGAAUGGCAUUCGAAACUGCGUAACUAGAGUAUGGUAGAGGAAGAUGGAAUUCCACGUGUAGCGGUGAAAUGCGUAGAGAUGUGGAGGAACACCAAUGGCGAAGGCAAUCUUCUGGGCCAAUACUGACGCUGAGGCUCGAAAGCGUGGUUAGCAAACAGG
rnacentral:rRNA from 1 species